rnacentral:rRNA from 1 species
CGGCAGGCCUAACACAUGCAAGUCGAGCGAAGCCUUCGGGUUUAGCGGCGGACGGGUGAGUAACGCGUGGGAAUAUGCCCUUUGGUACGGAACAGUCCCGGGAAACUCGGGUUUAAUACCGUAUGUGGUCCUUCGUAGUGGAUACCGGGGGACGAAAGAUUUUAUCGCCAAAGGAUUAGCCCGCGUUGGAUUAGGAGUUGGUGGGGUAACGGCCUACCAAGCCGACGAUCCAUAGCUGGUUUGAGAGGAUGAUCAGCCACACUGGGACUGAGACACGGCCCAGACUCCUACGGGAGGCAGCAGUGGGGAAUCUUAGACAAUGGGGGCAACCCUGAUCUAGCCAUGCCGCGUGAGUGAUGAAGGCCUUAGGGUUGUAAAGCUCUUUCAGCUGGGAAGAUAAUGACGGUACCAGCAGAAGAAGCCCCGGCUAACUCCGUG